rnacentral:rRNA from 1 species
GACGAACCGUACAAACGUUAUUCGGAAUCACUGGGCUUAAAGGGUGCGUAGGCGGCUUUGCAAGUCGGGUGUGAAAGCCCUCGGCUCAACCGAGGAAUUGCGCCCGAAACUGCCGAGCUUGAGGGACACAGAGGUAAGCGGAACUUAGGGUGGAGCGGUGAAAUGCGUUGACAUCCUAAGGAACACCAGGAGCGAAAGCGGCUUACUGGGUGUCUUCUGACGCUGAGGCACGAAAGCCAGGGGAG